rnacentral:rRNA from 1 species
GACGAACGCUGGCGGCGUGCUUAACACAUGCAAGUCGAACGGAAAGGCCCUGCUUUUGUGGGGUGCUCGAGUGGCGAACGGGUGAGUAACACGUGAGUAACCUGCCCUUGACGUUGGGAUAACUUCAGGAAACUGGGGCUAAUACCGGAUAGGAGCUCCUGCUGCAUGGUGGGGGUUGGAAAGUUUCGGCGGUUGGGGAUGGACUCGCGGCUUAUCAGCUUGUUGGUGGGGUAGUGGCUUACCAAGGCUUUGACGGGUAGCCGGCCUGAGAGGGUGACCGGCCACAUUGGGACUGAGAUACGGCCCAGACUCCUACGGGAGGCAGCAGUGGGGAAUAUUGCACAAUGGGCGGACGCCUGAUGCAGCAACGCCGCGUGCGGGAUGACGGCCUUCGGGUUGUAAACCGCUUUAGCCUGUGACGAAGCGUGAGUGACGGUAAUGGGUAAAGAAGCACCGGCUAACUACGUG